AGUGUGAUGCUCGAGACGGUUGUCGCAUACAUAAAGGGCGCAAAGCCUUUGGAGAGGUGGAUGCUGUGCCCUUCGCAGCAACUCCCAUCCGCUCCACAAAGCUCCGACCCUCUGUCUCCGCUGAUAUUUGUACCUGCAAAGUCAUUUGCAAUCCCAGCCUGGAUCCCACGUCCCCGGGUCUGGUCAGAUCACUGCUCUGAGAGAUGGAAAUAAGCGUGCGGCUGGUUACCUGUGCUGGUACGAUGACGCUGCCCGUCCAUCCGUCUGUCCCCAAGACUGACACACAGAAGACUAAUAAAUGAACUAAAUGAAAAACCAGCUGCCAGAUAGCCAAAUAAACACUCCGGUGCUGGAAAGGCAGGUCAAACCCAACCCUUCCACGUCGGUUUUGCUGCCAGGCUGCACAAUGUGCCAUCUCCUGCCUGUGGGAGGAUGAGCAGGGGAGGAGGAUUCAGCUGUUACACCAAGAAUGGUGAUAUUUGGCACAGAAAAGGACCCAGUCCUGAGGCAAUCUGGUUUGAUCUGUUCCACUGCCGGUGCCUCUGUUCAAAGGCACGGACCCCCUAAGUGCAAAACGAACACAACGUUAACCUGCAAUGUGCGGUUUCAGGAUUACAUCUUCAUCUCUUCUCUCCUUAUUCAUAAACCAUCGCUGACCCAGGACCGAAGAGGGGUUUUUUUUCUGGGUUAAUAAGCUUUCAAGUUUGAAAUAAAUGUAUUUCCAAGCGCCCAACACUCCCUGUGUGAGCAGACCCGAUGGCCACGACUUGGGUUUUGUGUGUCCCUCUUUGGCUCAGUAGCCACUCCAACAGCAAAACGAAACACAGGCCACGACAGAUUAAAACACACAGACUGUGCAAGAGCAGCAAAUGAUCUCGGGUUUAGCUACAGAAACCCUCGCACCUGGGUCAGACGCCGGCACCAACUGUGUAACACACAAACACUUCACGUUCCUCCUUUGGCCAAAAGCUUUGAGCUGGUUUAUACACAUAGGGAGAGAAAUACCAGGUGAACGCUGCAAUGGACACUGAUCAUUGAACUUCUUACUAAUUUCCUUCCGAUCUGCAGUCAGGUUUGCGUUGAGCUAAACUGGCUUGAAUUCUUUAACCGAACCCAAAGGAAACUGGUUUAUCGGGGAACAAUCUGCAAACAGAACAGCAACAACAUGCAAACAGCUUUUAUCUCUUUUCCUAAGUCUUGAAAAAAGAACCAAACCAAACCCACCAAACCCCAAAACUAGGUCAGGGUUGGCCGUCCUGCCAUCUCACGCUCUAUAUUUAGCUGUAUCUACGAGCACACAACACAGCGAAUACAUCGCUAGGAGCUAUGGGGGAUACGUGAUCAUAACUGACACGCGACUCGCAUGAACCCAACACGGCAAAUCCAGAGACCUGGGAGCUCGUGAACACGAGCCAGCAGCGCUGACCCCCUCUGCGUUCAGAUAACGGCCGCUAAUUGCACUAUUUUUCUCAACAUAAUUAAGAACAAAACAUGCCUUUAAUCCCAUCGGCAAGAUAAAUGCUUCAGGUGCGAGUUCAGCAGCGAAACUCUUAACUCCGAGUUGUUGGGAGCACCAGCACCUGCGUUUACAGCCACCUGGCUUUGAGGAGGAAAUAUAUAUAUUUUUAGCAUUGUUUUAACAUCUUUAAAGCCACACGUUGUUCCAUCAGCGCCCUCCUGGUAGCACAUGUACGGAGAGGUGAAGAACAGCAAGAUGUGCGUGCGGUUGGGAUGAGAAGCAGCUCAGGCCGGGCGGUCACGGCUAAAAGAGGCGGUGACGGGGUUCUGGGUGGAACCUCCAGCUCAUUAAUCACACCAGGUGUCUCAGAUUUCAUCAAUACAAAAGCACUUCCAUUUUAUUUCAGGUAAAUACGUGGCAAUGGCUUGGACAGGAACAGCAGCGGUGACCUUGGUCACCCUGUUCGCUGCAUCGCCUCGCGCAGCUCCCGGCUCCAUGGCCGGCACAGCACAGCAAACACACACCUCUCCCUCCUCCCGUGGCCCUGGCUCCCCAAACCAGCAUUUAAACCACAAUUGAAACAAAUCCUGCCGCUCCCUGGACGUGUAACACCCCAAGACGGUAACACCCCAGCACAGAGUUAACAUUGUGAAUUGCUCUGGUCUGAGAGCCAAGGUCUUUCUGAGCUCUGCCCACAGGUGUGGGGCAGCGGGGAAGGGGACAUGGAUGGGACAGACCCUGCCUGACACCCAGACUGAGCAAUGACAGCAUUCCGAGCUGUUAGCGCCAGGCUUUGUGUUCAAGGAGAGUGGGGAUUUUCUGGCUGGGAGGACAGAGGCUGUCCUGGUUCCGCUCCGUUUUGGGGCAGUUCUGUUUGGAAACCUCUCUUAGUUCGGCCUGUCCCCAUCCUGCCAUUUGCAGAGGCCUCUGGGCCUUUCUGCCUUUGUCUCUCUUCUCUGUUCAGGACCAGGCGCUGCUCCCUGGGUGCUCAGUGCGGACGGAGUUUGUGAGAACUUGCAUCAAGUAUCUUUUAUUUUAUAUUCUAUUUCCAUUAUAUAUUAGUACGAGCAGUGGCAUAUUAGUAUUAUUUUGUUACUUUAUUAAACCGUGUUUAUCUCGA